AUUGAACGCUGGCGGCAGGCCUAACACAUGCAAGUCGAGCGGAUGAAGAGAGCUUGCUCCUGGAUUCAGCGGCGGACGGGUGAGUAAUGCCUAGGAAUCUGCCUGGUAGUGGGGGAUAACGUCCGGAAACGGGCGCUAAUACCGCAUACGUCCUGAGGGAGAAAGUGGGGGAUCUUCGGACCUCACGCUAUCAGAUGAGCCUAGGUCGGAUUAGCUAGUUGGUGGGGUAAAGGCCUACCAAGGCGACGAUCCGUAACUGGUCUGAGAGGAUGAUCAGUCACACUGGAACUGAGACACGGUCCAGACUCCUACGGGAGGCAGCAGUAGGGAAUAUUGGACAAUGGGCGAAAGCCUGAUCCAGCCAUGCCGCGUGUGUGAAGAAGGUCUUCGGAUUGUAAGGCACUUUAAGUUGGGAGGAAGGGCAGUAAGUUAAUACCUUGCUGUUUUGACGUUACCAACAGAAUAAGCACCGGCUAACUUCGUG
rnacentral:rRNA from 1 species